GGUGUUACGGAAGAAGUAACAUUUUUGCAGAACAGAUUUUUUGUAUGCUGUGUCCGUGUCAGAUACAUAAGGUGAAGCAAGCUAUAUGAACUAGACAGUGUAUUCAGCUUUCUCUGCUGAAAUAAUGUGACCAAAUCAAGUGUCACCUGGAAAGAGGAAUGUCAAGGGUGCUUUUUACAUUAACUCCAAAAUAGCCGUUGGAAAGUUCAAGCCAGAUCUGCUACAGCAAACUGAACAUAAAGUUGCAUACUUGUGUGUCAGGAAACGAGGAACAUGUAUGGCUGGACUGAGAAUCUAACCGGGGAUCCCUGCAUCACUACUU